GCCCUACCAAGGGCGAACGGGAACUGCGAAAGUGGCGAUGAAGAUUAGCCUAGGCCCGAUGAGAUCCCAGAGGCUGAGGAUGAAUUAUCUCCCGCGACGUGCUCGUUUUGUCGGUAGAAAUGAGGAAGUAAAUCAAUGGUAUCUACAAACAGUGGCCGAUCAAUGGAUGGUUUGCUGGCUUUUGGAUGGUGUGCUGGAAAAACUGGACAAUUUUAAGUAUGAAUUUAUCACAAAAUGUAAAGAAAAGAACUUUAGUCAAAGAAGACAAGGGUUUCAAAAUUCUGCAGAGAGACAAUGAAAAUGCAAAACUCAGCUACCUACUACAUAUACAGUGGAGUACAGGGUUAUAUACAGGGGUUAUUCAAAGGGACCAGACUUUCAGUUCAUAAUAGCAAGAAGAGAAAUUUAGAACCAGUGGGGUCAUGUUAUAAGUUAGAAAUUUGUUAAAACUAGUGGAGAUUGAGCAAGGCUUGAUAUUUUCAAGAUUCCUAAGGUAUAUUUUUCAAGAUAUUUUACUCACAUCAAAAUGUGUAGAAUAGUUUGGAUUUGAUAAAGUUUUUCUCUUACAAUAAUGGUCCUGUACCACCUGCUUGGUAACAUUUUUUAUACAUAAUCAGAAGAAAAUGUUUUACCUUCA